UAAAUAAUGCACCGAUACCUUUUGCAAUAGUAAGAUUCCAUAAAAAGUGCCACAUAUGUCCUUGCUACAGUAAGAGACUGUCGGUGGCUACAGUAAAAGAAACCAGCUUUGUUUUAUUGUGGGUGUUUUAGGGAUACAUGUCCUGGCUAGGAUUUGGACUAGUACCGUCCCUUUAAAAAUUUUAUUUGAUUUACUUGGAUAUAAGAGGAAAAAUUACCUCUGUGCAGUCAUCACCAUUUGGAGGACUAUAAUCCUCAUCUUCUUCUUUCGUUGAUGUGAACAUAUUAUCAUCAUCUUCUUCCAUAGCUAGUAAUAACUUUCUUUUAAGCUCUAUUUUUGAUAAUUUUGGAUUUUGUUGUUGCAUGAUCACAACAUAUUAUGUUAUAUUCAUAUUAGAAUUUUGCGAGAAGGAGGGUAUUAAUUUCAAAUAAAUUUUCUCUCGAUCUAGGGAUUCAUUUUUAUAACUAUUCCACAAUUUUACCGAUAUUUAUCGGUUUAGUUUUGGGAUAUAGUCCCAUCUGUCUACUUCGUCCUCCGAGAUCUGGUAUGUCCAUUUAAGGAUCCAAGGGACUUGAUAUAAAGGCAUAAAAUAUAGAUGGCAAUUUCAUUUUAAACAAUAUUUAUUAUAGUCAGAGAAUUUUCUCUGUGAUAUUUGUAAUUUUGAAGGGAGUAUUUGGUCACAAGAUCCCCAUAAGAGGAACCAACUUUUAAACCAGUUAGGGAAUUCUUCAAAGUCAGUUAUCUUCAACUGUACAUACCAACUAUGUAAAUUCUUGGUAUUUUGAUAAGCAAAUAUCUCAUCUCAUGCUUUUAUAUAUUCGUAAUACAUAUAGGAUCUAAUUUUAAAUCCUUUAGUAUUUAGCAUCCUUGGUUUUAAAAGAUCUAGUCCCCAAUCUUUGUAAGAGAUAAUUUUAUGAAUUUGGAAUUUUGAGUAUGCAAUCUGUGAGUCAUUGUUUCUAUAAUGGUGAACAAUCGUUAUCGAUCCUAUUUCCAUAAUGAUGGUUUUGUACCAUUCUCUGCAUCUUUCUCCCAUAUUAGGAUGCAUAUGAUUUCGUAAAUAUAUUGUUGCUAUUUCAGUGAGAGUUUUUUCUUUAAGAUCAUUUUCAAUGACUAUGAGGGGUAUAUAAGAUGUUUCAAGAAAAGAAGUUCUAUUAGCACUUGGACCUGGGCUAUUAUUGCUUAAAAAGGGAUUGUUGUGGAGACAUAUCAAUCUCUUGAAC
rnacentral:lncRNA from 1 species